rnacentral:lncRNA from 1 species
GGGAUCGUACGCCUCUCCGGCGUCCAUCGGCGCCGCGGCCGCAUCCUGCGCCGCGUAAGGAUCGUAGGCGCCCGCGUCGGGGACGGCGGCGUACGGAUCCGUCGCGGCGUCCAUCGCCGCGUAAGGGUCCGCGGCGGCGGCGGGCGCCGCCUGCUCCCCGUAGAGCGCCGCGAGGGUACCCGCCAUCUCGUCCUGCAUCGCGCCGUACGCGGCGGACGCGUUGGGGUCGUACUCGCCGAUGCCAGGUUGCGGCGUGGUGGGCGCCGUGGGAUCGACGGGGGCGGCCAUGCCCGGGACGGUCAUCGCGGGCGCGUAGGCGCCCGCCGCCGCCGCCGCGCGAAGGUGCGAGGGGAGGCCCGCGGUGGUAGCGGCGGCGCCCAGCUGCGAGGCGGGAACCUUCGGCUUGGGUUUGGGCUUGGCCCAGUGCAGGACCUUGACGCUGUUGGGCUCGCACGGCCCGGCGUACACCUUCUUUCCGUCGUGAACCACGAAGGACGUGCCCGUCGGCGAGAGCAGGUCGACCAUCUUGUCGCCAAC